rnacentral:lncRNA from 1 species
AAAAAUGAUAAAUCUGUUCGGCUAAAGAUGUCAAACGCUAUCCGUAUUAAUUACCCCGAAAAGAUAGGGUAUAUCAGGGUAGCGACUGACGUCUGACUAAAUAGUAGAAAGGGGCUGAAUAUUAAAGUACUACUUUUUGAUUAAUAUUCCUGAAGUAAUGAACUAGAGAAGUUCUCGCUCGGACACACACUCCAUAAUCUAGUAUAUUAUAAGAGCAUAAACCUAAAGCACG